GACGAACGCUGGCGGCAGGCCUAACACAUGCAAGUCGAGCGCCCUGCAAGGGGAGCGGCGGACGGGUGAGUAACGCGUGGGAAUUUUUCCUGGAGUACGGAACAACCGAGGGAAACUUCGGCUAAUACCGUAUGAUGCCGAGAGGCCAAAGAUUUAUCGCUCUGGGGUGAGCCCGCGUCAGAUUAGGUAGUUGGUGGGGUAAUGGCCUACCAAGCCUGCGAUCUGUAGCUGGUCNGAGAGGACGAUCAGCCACACUGGGACUGAGACACGGCCCAGACUCCUACGGGAGGCAGCAGUGGGGAAUCUUGCGCAAUGGGCGCAAGCCUGACCCAGCAACGCCGCGUG
rnacentral:rRNA from 1 species